CAAUAGCGUAUAUUAAAGCUGUUGCGGUUAAAAAGCUCGUAGUUGGAUUUCUGUCAAGGACAACUGGUCCGCCCUUCGGGUGAGCACAUAGUUUGGUCUUGGCAUCUUGUUGGAAACUGUUGCUGCACUUGGUUGUGUGGCGCAGCGUCCAGCACUUUCACUUUGAGGAAAUUGGAGUGUUUCAAGCAGGCACAUGCCUUUGGACACAGUAGCAUGGAAUAAUUAGAUUGGGCUUUUGCUCCAACUUGUCGGUUUCUGGAGCUGAGGUGAGAAUUAAUGGGGAUUGUUGGGGGCAUCCGAAUUUAGCCGUCAGAGGUGAAAUUCUUGGAUCUGCUAAAGACGGACAACUGCGGAAGCGUUUGCCCAGGAUGUUUUCAUUGA
rnacentral:rRNA from 1 species